UGUUUAAUGUUUUCUCUUUAAAAUCAAACACACUAUUCAAGCACAAAUGAGAUAUUAAAAGAAAUGAUUUACGCAAGGCUACAUAUGUUUCUAUUUCAGUACAACAAUGUUCAUGUUCUCUUCAAAAUUAAAAAGUCCUAGAGCUACAGCAAACUCUUCAUGGGGACACAAAACUACUACUUAUAUUUUACCAUCUACACACAAAUGUGAAUAAUUUUUUUGCCAUCUAAGGAAACUAUUUUUGUAAGUGGAUUAAAAGAAUAUUUCCUUCAUCUGAAGUCAUGUGCUUGUUUUUGUUUUCAGGUUCUUGUUUUUGGUUAUCAAGGCAACUUGUAUGCAAAUGCACAUGCUGCCAACCUCAACACUAGUGGACAUUCUGUCAAGUUCAUUUUCUGGAAUGCUGCUCAAGUUGUUAUCAAUUGUGUCUAAUGCAUCACUGGGAAGUGUUUGUUGCUGUAAGAUUUGAUCAGUGUCACCUUGGACAGUUGCAGGGUCAGACAAUUUUGGCUGGACUUCUUCUGUGUUUGUUGCUGUGACAUUUGAUCAAUAUCUUCUUGGACAGAUGUUGGAGUGGGAAAUGUGUGUUGGAUUUCUUUCUCUGCUUUGCUCAACAAAAUCAAUAACUUCUGACUCAUCAACUAGCAGUAAUUCUUGCUGAGAGAUUCGAUCAGUGUCGCCUUGAACAAAGGCAGGAGUGGGUGAUCUUAUCUGGACUUCUUCCUCAGGUUCGGAGUUCGAGAUGGAUGAUUGGCAUCAAAUGCGAGUCUCACGGUCUUUAUCAUCUGCAGACAUCUAAGCAUGUUGGUUCGGUCAUGGAUUAUCUCUAUCGUUAUGCUUAGUUGGGUCAUCCUAGCCUUGCCAAGAUACGACAACUUGUUCCAAGUUUGUCUUGUGAGUCAUGUCAAAUAGGAAAACACAGUCAUAGUUCUUUUCGACGAAGUGUUUCACAACGUGCUUUGUUUCCUUUUAUGUUAUUUCGUUCUGACAUCUGGAGAACCAAGUCAUGUUAACUCAAAUUUAGGAUUUUAGUAUUUUGUCAUUUUUAUUGAUGAUUAUUCAAGAUGUACUUGGUUGUUUUUAAUGAAAGAUUGAUCUGAGUUGUUUUCUAUA